AUUGAACGCUGGAGGCGUGCUUAACACAUGCAAGUCGUGCGAGAAAGGGACUACGGUCCUGAGUAGAGCGGCGCACGGGUGAGUAACGCGUGGGUGAUCUCCCUUGGUGACCGGGAUAACAGCGGGAAACUGCUGCUAAUACUGGAUAAUCUUCAUGUUUAACUUCAUGGGGUAAAGGUGGCCUCUGCUUGCAAGCUACCACACCGAGAUGAGCCCGCGUCUCAUUAGCUAGUUGGUAGGGUAAUGGCCUACCAAGGCUACGAUGAGUAGCUGGUCUGAGAGGAUGACCAGCCACACUGGGACUGGAACACGGCCCAGACUCCUACGGGAGGCAGCAGUGGGGAAUAUUGCGCAAUGGGCGAAAGCCUGACGCAGCGACGCCUCGUGAAGGGACGAAGGUCUUCGGAUCGUAAACCCCUGUCAAGAGGGAAGAAACCCUUGAGUUCGAACAGGACUCUUGGCUGACGGUACCUCAAAAGGAAGCACCGGCUAACUCCGUGCCAGCAGCUGC
rnacentral:rRNA from 1 species